rnacentral:rRNA from 1 species
GACGGAGGGUGCAAACGUUGUUCGGAAUCACUGGGCAUAAAGCGCACGUAGGCGGUCCGCUAAGUCAGUUGUGAAAUCCCUCGGCUCAACCGAGGAUCUGCACCUGAUACUGGCGGGCUAGAGAACGGUAGGGGUGAGUGGAACUCCAGGUGGAGCGGUGAAAUGCGUAGAUAUCUGGAGGAACACCGGUGGCGAAGGCGGCUCACUGGACCGUAUCUGACGCUGAGGUGCGAAAGCUAGGGUAGCAAACGGG